ACAGUACACAGUAUUGUUAAAUCUUGUGUCUUUUUAUUGACAGUACACAGUAUUGUUAAAUCUUGUGUCCAGACUGUUCGCAUAGUAACAUAAAAGUACAUUUUGAACUACUUGUAGUCAUGCUUUAUAUUAAGUGAUGUGGUGUUGUUAUGGAUGUAAACCUAUGGUAUUUGGUAAGUGUUAACAUUAAUUGUAACAUUUGUAUGCUGUUUUAUUUGAGUAUAGAACUGAGAUAAAGCAUGUCAUAAGGUGUUUUUUAUUUAUUUAUUUAUUUUAUUUUUUUGAUGGAUUCCUUUAGGAAUUGCUGGCCCUCCAGAGGACUCAUCUUUUCAGACCAUACUUUUGUUUAUUGUGCCGAAUAAAUUAUGAGGUUAGCAGCGUGAACUUCGUACAUUUGCCGUAACCUAUCAUGCCUGUUGGUGGUCACUCACAUUCAGUCCAGCGCAGGCCCAUUUCAACAUUACUGUAGAUACAAUAACUCAAAGAGGCUUACCAAGAAAGUUUGCUUGAGUGGAAAAACUGCAUCUAUUUUGCACUGUCACUGGAUAAACUGGCAAUACGAACACAUCUUGAACAUCUAGUAAAGUAAAUGGAUGAUGUGGACAGUCUACAAUACAAACAAAUGGCAGGUGCUUGAAAAAGGAUCAACAUAGAGGUAGGCUUGAAAUCUUUUGCCAUCCAACUUAGUAAUGUGCAAUUUUCACCCACUUCUUUAGAAUUACAUAAAGUAGACAUUUUUCUUUAAUUGGAUAUUGUGUUUGAAAUAAUUUAGAUAGAGAUAGACAUGAUACAAUGAAAGCUGGCGGGAGCAAGUAUAUUAAAAAAUUAUUGAAAUUGUUUUUGAUAAUUGUGGACUUUUUGGUACAGAUGAAAACAUUAAAAUCUCAUUAAAUUUCAAAGACUCAAUUAUAUUCAGGAAUUCAUGUUUCACAAGUUAUUUUGUAUUGAUUCAAAGAAUCUGGCCAUGCAUUAUAUUACAAUACAGAAUUUAUAGAUCUCACAAAGUAUUUUAUAACGUCUAUAAUUAGUAUAUAUGUUUUUGAGUCAAAAGUAUUAAAUUUUAUAACAUACUAAUACAUCUUUGUACUUGUGUCUUAAAUUCAAGUCUGAGACUGUUCAGCUAAUUUUGUAAAGAAAAUUAAAAUCAACUUUUGCUUCUUAAUGAUCAAAUGCACGGUAUGCCAUUACAUUAUCAUUUCCUUUUAUUAGUAAAAAUUUACUAAAAAAGAUUUUAAAGCAAAACUGAUACGUAUUCUAGCAUGUAUCAGUUGUGCUUUAGAAUUGAUAAAAAAAAUGCUUACAUAGUACUUCAUAUCUGCCUUUUAAAAUACCCAGUUUGCUAAUGAUUGGUCAGUAACUUGUCUUAGUGGAAACUGAAUUCUUUAAGUAUUAUCUGAAUAUGUCAUGAAAUGAUCAGUUUUUACUUGUCCAAUCAUUACAAUUGUAAACAUUUGUAUAUUUAGUAUCUGUCUUAAAUGUUUAAUGAAAUGACUAGUUUCAUGUUAAGUAAUCUGUAAUUGUGAUCAUUAAAACAUGAAUUAUUUGGAAAAAUUCAUUGUUUACUUACCAUCCUAGUAGUAAAUACAAUGAUUAUUUAUUGCCCCAAAAUGACCAGAGAGGACAUAGACCACUCUGGCAUGUGUGGUCUUAAAUAGUCCCUGGCCUUUAUGUGCCAAAAGUUUAAUUUAUUAUUUUCUUUCCUGGUUAAAAGUUAACAUCAUAGCUUUUGUUUAUAUUGUUAUUUUUCUCUAGAGUAUAAUACAUGUAUAUAACAACAGAAGGUGUUUGUAUCAUGUU